UUUCCGUAGGUGAACCUGCGGAAGGAUCAUUAUUGAAAAGUUUUGGAGGUACUGUUGCUGGUCUUUAACAAGACAUGUGCACGUAUCUCUAAUCUAUUCAUCCACCUGUGCACUUUUUGUAGGAGUUCUUUUAGGUUGGCUAUAUGCGCUUAGGUGCUAAGUCGAUUUGAAAGGCUUCUAUGUCUUACAAACUAGUUAAGCAUGUUUUAGAAUGUCGUUUUACUGGGACUUUAUUGACCCUUUAAACUUUGUACAACUUUCAGCAACGGAUCUCUUGGCUCUCCCAUCGAUGAAGAACGCAGC
rnacentral:misc_RNA from 1 species